ACAUCUCUUCAUUUGUACCCUUCGGGGUACUGGUAAAAUCCUCAACAUUUAGUAUAACCAGAGUCUCCUGGAGGGGAGCGUGAGAUUUUUGAAUAGAUCUAUACGGGACUGACAAUCCCAUACCUAAACUGCUAGCUACAGUUAGGCAGGUACGCCUGGGGUGGCAAAUAUCAUACCAUACGAUGCCUGAUGAAACGUCGCUGAUGUCACUAAUCAUAUCAAGCAUGGUUAUACAAACUCACAAUAGUAUAAACUAACCUUGUUUACGGGACUUCAUUCUUCAUAGUUUUAUUUUAAUUAAUAGAACUACUAUACAUUAAACUGGAGGAUUCCAGGGAUACAAUACACGGUUUUAUUUUAAGUAAUAAAACUACUAUACAUACUGGUGGUAGCCAAGGUUUUCCAACAUAACACACUAUACAUACUGGUGGUAGCCAGGGUUUUCAGAACAUAACAUACUAUACUUACUGGUGGUAGCAAGGGUUUUCAAACAGAACAUACUAUACAUAUAGUAAUGAACAAACUUGUAAGAAAAUAUUGGAUUUUCUCGGGAACAUGCAUACACUUUUACAGAAUUGAAUGACAGGUUUUUCACUACAAAAAUAUUCUGAUGAACUCACCAGCUUUAUGCUGAUACGUUUUCAAAAUCGCUUGUAUUCUCAGGACAUCAGUAGACAGGUACUCUCGCCAGCGUUUAAGAAGACGGAGCAUAUAGAGUCUCGUCUUUAUAUUUCACUACUUUUUAUGUACACAAAAACAAUGGAUCAAAAAUAUGUAAAUAUUCAUAUUGUAUUAUAAUGGUUGUGUUACUUUGAUUACUAUGAUGCAAUUAUUGUGAUACUACACAUGACGUCCUCCACCCCUAAAUGUUUUCGCCGUUUCUGGUUUGGCGGUGUGACAGAUUGGUAUCAGAGCUAUUGCUUAUAGUGAAUUUAGUAUACCGAACCUUACAAGGUAUACAACUAUAAACACUAAGGGGCUGAAGUGCUCUGAACUAAAAGUAUACUUUUAAGAUAUAAUUAUUUUAUAAGAAGUAUACAAGUAUACAUACGUACCAGAAACAAUAACAUAAAUAGAACAAAACAAAAGUAUUUGGAUGUUGGACACUGCGGUUAAACCUGGACAGUUAUGUAAUCAUGUCUAGGGUCAAUAUAGCCUGAUCAACUAUAUUUAUUUGAGACAUAGCCAACAUGUGUUUGGGAGUGACCGUGGUGUUGCAGCAGGCCUAAAACUUACCAAGUAUAUAUACGACAAGAUAAUGGUAGAACAGAACGUACAACUUAAAAUACUAUAGGAGUAUUUUAGCUAGAGUCGAAUACAAUGUGGAGAUUCAUUUCAAGUAGUGCUACUCAUUCCUUCUUAGCGAUAGUUACUUGUAUUAGUAACAUUUCCUGUUUUAUCGCUUAGUAGAACACUUUAUCUAUCAGGCUGAGAUAUAUCUGGUUUCAUAUCUCUUGAUUCAAAACUCUUGGGGACUUACCAUCCUCUUCUUCAUGAUUAUUUUUAGAACAAGAUGCCUCCAAAGAAAAGACCCAACAGAAAGAAAAACAAUCCCCUAACGGAUCCGACACCACCACCUCCUCAGUUCGAUCCUACCAUGUUCCAGGCAGUAGUUACAACUGCUGUGGCUGCCGCGAUGUUGCAGAUAAAUUCUGGCAGCUCUAGCGGGUCUGGAAGUGGUGCCCAUCCCCUUAAUCUUGAUAGAAGCUAGGGACACUAGAAGGAGUGUCCUACAAAGAUUUCAUGAACACAAAGCCCAAAUCCUUCAACGACAAUGGAUGUGUCAUUUCCCUAACUCGAUGGAUUAAGAAGAUCGAAUCGGUCUUCGAGAUCUGUGCAUGCUUCGAAGCAAACAAUGUGAAGUUCGAUGCUUGCACCUUCACUGAUAGAGCAAUGACCUGGUGGAAUGUUUGGGUCAAGUCCUUAACCCUGCCAGUGGCAAAUACCAUGGGUAGAGAAAGUUUAAAGGAACUCAUGCUGGCAGAGUAUUGACCAAGGGGCGAGAUGCAGAAGUUGGAGAAUGAGCUUUGGAACCUGAGGAUGAAGAGUUCUGAUAUUGCCACCUAUGCAUCUAGAUUCUGUGAUCUAUCUCUCCUCUGGUCGGGAAUGGUCACCCCGAAAAGCAAGAAAAUAGAGAGGUACAUUUGGGGAUUACCGCCCCCCAACUCAAGGAAAUGUCUUGACUGCUAAGCCUUCCACUUUUGACAGCGCCAAGUGCCUGGCGUAGACCCUGAUAGAUCACGGGGUUAAUCUUGAUGAAGUGGCAGCCGCUCCUGAACCACCAAAGGCAAGUGGUGGGAAGAAAAUGUUUUGGAACAAGCGUAAGGGCCAGUCUUCUCAGGAGCCCUCCAAGAAAUAACAAGUAGUGGCCGUUCAUGCUACUACCACUCCUGCUGCUAUUCCUGUAGCUCAAGCACCUACCGGUAGAUAUGUUGGUACCCUUCCUCGAUGCGAAAAGUGCAACUAUCAUCAUCAUGGGCCAUGCCGUGAAAUGUUGUGCAACAGCUGUGGCAAGAAGGGGCACACAACUCGAGUUUGCAAGACACCAGUCCAACCAACCAAUCAGGCUAUUGGGGCAGGCAUUGGUCAAGCAUGUUAUGGCUAUGGGGAAAUCGGACACUACAAGAGAAACUUCCCCAAGGAAAUAACGGCUGGAAACACAGGGAGAGUACUAGCAAUGGGCCAGGAGGAGGCAGUUGCUGAUCCCACUAUUGUUAAGGGUACGUUCCUCCUUGAAAACUCUUAUGCAUGCAUUCUUUUUGAUUCUGGUGCGGAGAGAAGUUUUGUCAGUCUUGCAUUCAAGCAUCUUCUCAAACAUAAACCCCAAACCUUAAACGAAACAUUCAUCGUUGACAUGGCUAAUAUUAAGAAAGAGAGCACUAACGAUGUAUUCAUCGGCUGUACCCUUACCCUAAAUGACCAUUCCUUUCUAAUCGACCUUAUGCCAACUUCCAUAAAAAGCUUCGACGUCAUCAUCAACAUGGAUUGGUUGAGCCCCAAUCAUGCUGAUAUCCUUUGUUAUGAAAAAGCCAUUCAUCUCAAUCAGCCAUCUGGCGAAGCCCUCAUGACUUAUGGCGAAAAACUCAGUCAAACCUCUGUAUCAUUUCGUUCAUCAAAGCUCAAAAAUAUUCGAGAAAAGAGUACCAUGCAUUCCUAGCCCAUGUUGUUAAUGAUAAACAGGAAGUUAAAGACCUCGAGAGCAUCCCCGAAGUCUACAACUUUCCUGAUGUCUUUCUAGAAGAGCUUCCGGGAAUCCCUCCCGAGUGCCAAGUCGAGUUCCGAAUCAACUUAAUCCCCGUAGCUACCCCCAUAGCUAAAUCCCCAUACCGUCUAGCGCCAGCAUAAAUGCAAUAGUUAACCAGCCAGCUCAAUGAGCUACUCAACAAAGGAUUCAUCAGACCGAGUUCCUCACCCCGAGGAGCCCGGAUCUUAUUUGUGAAAAAGAAGGAUGGAUCUUUUUAGAUGUGCAUUGAUUAUCGCGAAUUGAACAAGCUUAUCAUCAAAAACCGUUAUCCUCUUCCCCGAAUCGACGUCCUCUUCGACUAACUUCAAGGAGCCAGCUACUUCUCAAAAAUAGACCUAUGAUCAGGGUACCAUCAUCUACGAUUCCAUGAAGGUGAUGAUCCCAAGACAACAUUUCAGACUCGAUAUGGUCACUACAAGUUUGUAGUAAUGCCCUUUGGUCUAACCAACGCACCGACGGUAUUCAUGGAUCUGAUGAAUCGGGUGUGCCGCCCUUUCCUAGACAAGUUUGUGAUAGUGUUCAUUGAUGAUAAACUUGUCUAUUCCCGAAGCGAGGAAGAUCAUAGGUAGCACUUAAGGCUAGUGCUGGAGACUCUAAGGGUGGAGAAGCUAUAUGCGAAAUUCUCUAAGUGCGAAUUCUGGAUCCGAAAAGUAACUUUCCUUGGUCAUGUGGUAAGCGAAUAAGACAUACAUGUGGACCCAUCCAAGAUCAAAGCGAUAGAAAAUUGGUCAGCACCGAAGACGCCCAUAGAAAUCUGUCAAUUCUUGGGCCUCGCUGGCUACUAUCAUAGGUUUAUCUAGAAUUUCUCCAGGAUUGCUAAGCCUCUAACCACCCUGACCCUGAUAGGUGUACCUUUUGAUGGGGAGAAAAGCAAGACACUGCGUUUCAAACAUUAAAGCAGGCCCUAUGGAACGCACCUAUCCUGUCUCUGCCCGAAGGGAUGGAGGACUUUGUUGUCUACUAUGAUGCAUCCAAUCAGGGCCUAGGCUGUGUGCUCAUGCAACGAGGAAAGGUUAUUGCUUAUGCCACAAGGCAGCUGAAAGCAUAUGAAGUCAACUAUACAACUCAUGAUUUGAAGUUGGGAGCAGUGGUCUUCGCAUUAAAGAUAUGGAGACAUUAUCUCUGUGGAACCAAGUGCACCAUCUUCACAGAUCAUAAACGCCUACAACACAUUUUCGACCAGAAAGAAUUGAACAUGAGGCAACAACGAUGGGUAGAGCUACUCAGUGAUUAUGAGUGCGAAAUACGCUACCAUCCCGGCAAGUCCAAUGUGGUAGCUGAUGCCCUCAGCCGGAAAGUGUAUUCAGGUCAUAGAGUGAAGGCACAAACAAUGACCAUCCAUUCCUAUUCAUCCGCUCAAAUCAAAGAGGCUCAGUUGAAACCAGAGAACAAGCCGGAUGAAGCCUUGAAGGGAAUGGAAAAGAACAUAGAGAUCAAGGGAGAUGGAUUCUAUUAUUUCAUGGACCGGAUCUGGACCCCAAAGUUCGGUGGUUACAGGGAGGUUGUCAUGAACGAAGCUCACAAGACUAAAUACACCAUUCACCCAGGUUCGGAUAAGAUGUACCUGGAUCUCAAGAAGUUAUAUUGGUGGCCGAACAUGAAAGCAUAGAUCGCUACCUUCGUGGGAAAGUGUUUGACUUACGCCAAGGUGAAGGGUGAAUAUCAUAAGCCCUCAGGUCUGCUCCAGCAGCCUGAAAUACCUGAGUGGAAGUGGGAGAGGAUUACAAUGGAUUUUAUCACUAAAUGGCCCAAAUCUCUGAGUACGUACGAUACCAUAUGGGUAAUUGUUGACCGAUUGACCAAAUCCACCCACUUCCUGCCAAUCAAAGAAACUUUCAAGAUGGAAAGACAUACACAAAUCUACAUCCAAGAGAUAGUUCGUCUGCACGGUGUGCCUGUGUCCAUUAUCUUUGAUCGGGAUAGCAGAUUCACCUCGAGAUUUUGGCAGUCACUGCAGAAAGCUCUUGGAACCAAGCUGGAUAUGAGCACAACUUACCAUCCACAAACAGAUGGACAGAGUAAGAGAACCAUUCAAACAUUGGAAGACACGUUGAGAGCAUGUGUAAUUGAUUUUGGUAAGUUGUGGGACGUCCAUUUUCCCUUGGUUGAGUUCUCCUACAACAAUAGUUAUCAUACCAGUAUCAAUGUUGCGCCUUUUGAAGCCCUUUAUGGCCGUAAGUGCAGAUCCCCUCUGUGUUGGGCUGAGGUGGGCGACACGCAGCUAGCCAAGGGACAAGUCCCCGACAACACUUUCACCAAUCCAGAAAUCAUCCGUGAAACCACUAAAAAGAUCAUACUAAUCCAGGAACGACUAAAGGCUUCGAGAGAUAGACAAAAGAGCUACGCCGAUAAGAGACGAACACCCUUGGAGUUCCAGGUUGGAGACCGUGUUCUAUUGAAGGUCUCACCCUGGAAAGGCAUGAUACGCUUUGGAAAGCGUGGAAAGCUAAAUCUGACAUACAUAGGGCCAUUCAAGAUCCUUUCUAGGAUCGGUCCCAUAGCAUACAAACUCUGUUUACCACAAGAGCUUAACAAUAUCCAUCCUGUCUUCCACAUCUCGAACCUUAAAAAGUGUUUAUCUGAUGAAACCCUCAUGAUCCAUCUUGAUGAGAUCAAGAUCCACGAGAACCUUAACUUCGUGGAAGAACUAGUCGAAAUCAUGGAUCGGGAGAUCAAACGAACGAAACAAAGUCGCAUACCAAUAGUGAAGGCUCGCUUGAAUGCCAAGCGGGGACCUGAAUUCACAUGGGAACGCGAAGAUCAGAUGAAAUAGAAACAUCUGCAUCUCUUUCCGGGUCCAUGAUUUGUACUCUGUGUUUGAAUUUCGGGACGAAAUUCCCUCUAUCGGUGGGAUGAUGUGACAACCCGAAACUUUUUCCGUUAUCUUUAACCGAUUUCCAUUAAUAAAAUUUGAAUUUUAUUGGAUUUACGUCAAAUUCCUUGGUUUGGAAAAAUUAUUACGUUUUAUAUAAUUAAAAUUAUAUACGAGUCAGAACCAAAAUCACGAAAAAAACUUGAAAUGUCUCAAAAAACUAACAGUUUUCGGCCGAAGUAAAUGUACGGCCGCACACCCGUGCACGACUGCACACCCAUGUACGGCUGCACACCUGUGUACAGCCAUAAACCCGUUCAUGGUUGGUGCCAGGUGGACCCCACCACCGACCAUACCCCCAGCCUAUAUAUACGGGACCCCCACCCUCAUUUGAACACACUUGGCCGAAAACUCUCUCAUUCUCUCUCUAGAACCCCUGACCGUACACACUAAAAACACCUCUUUUCUUCCAAAAAUCAUCAUGUGGAGUCGGUUUGGAGCAUUUGGAACAGGUUCUUCUUCGAAUCAAACACCCUCGUUCUUGAGUGUGUGGCCGGAAACCCGUAAACUCCCUUCCCGGCCGUACUCACCUCCUAAGUGGUGAAAAACCCGUUUCCUCGAUUCAAUCAAGUCCUGGUAACAUCCUUAACUGAAACCAAGUGUGUUUCUAACACUUUAUCUAACGAAAUCGCUAAUUUAAAUACAUAUUUGUAUUUAUUUUAUAUUAGGAUUCCGUUAAGUGUCAUAUACAACAACUCGAGGAUCUUCGUUUCUAGUUCGAUGUUUUCACACAACAAACAGUGAGUUCAUACCCCNUUGGGGGGGGAUAUAAGCCAAAUACAAAUGAUUUUGUGAAACAAAAACAAAAGGUUUUUAACCAGUUUAAAACUUAUGCAAUUAACACAAUCCAACGAUUUUCCAUAAAAUAUAUAGAUAUUUUACCCCUUUUGUACUAUGCGGAGCAUAAGGGACGCUGUCUAAACAUAAGUGCAUAGUUUUCAGAACAAAUCACGAGCAUAAAUUUUUAAUCAAACUAUAAUAGGUAUAGUUUGGGGGAAAUUCGUUACCAGUUUUACCGAUACAAACUACUUCCAUGAACAAUCAUAUGAACUAUGACAGCUUUAGUUUAUGAUAUUUGUUACUACGUUCAGAUAAUAAGAGUAUAAAACUAAAUAAUUAUUUUACGUAUAAUUAUUUAUACUCUACCAAGUAUACAAACGGUUUCAAUUACGGGAACACGAUACGGAAUAACACGUAAACUAGUUAAUACAGGAUUGUGAGACAUCUCUUCAUUUGUACCCUUCGGGGUACUGGGAAAAUCCUCAACAUUUAGUAUAACCAGAGUCUCCUGGAGGGGAGCGUUAGAUUUUUGAAUAGAUCUAUACAGGACUGACAAUCCCAUACCUAAACUGCUAGCUACAGUUAGGCAGGUACGCCUGGGGUGACAAAUAUCAUACCAUACGAUGCCUGAUGAAACGUCGCUGAUGUCACUAAUCAUAUCAAGCAUGGUUAUACGAACUCACAAUAGUAUAAACUAACCUUGUUUACGGGACUUCAUUCUUCAUAGUUUUAUUUUAAUUAAUAGAACUACUAUACAUU
rnacentral:lncRNA from 1 species